AAGUCGAACGAUGAACCGGUGCUUGCAUCGGGGAUUAGUGGCGAACGGGUGAGUAACACGUGAGUAACCUGCCCUUGACUCUGGGAUAAGCCUGGGAAACUGGGUCUAAUACCGGAUAUGACCAUCUGACGCAUGUCAUGGUGGUGGAAAGCUUUUGUGGUUUUGGAUGGACUCGCGGCCUAUCAGCUUGUUGGUGGGGUAAUGGCCUACCAAGGCGACGACGGGUAGCCGGCCUGAGAGGGUGACCGGCCACACUUGGGACUGAGACACGGCCCAGACUCCUACGGGAGGCAGCAGUGGGGAAUAUUGCACAGUGGGCGCAAGCCUGAUGCAGCGACGCCGCGUGAGGGAUGACGGCCUUCGGGUUGUAAACCUCUUUCAGUAGGGAAGAAGCGA
rnacentral:rRNA from 1 species